rnacentral:lncRNA from 1 species
AUGGAAACAGAUGAUGCAGUCGUAAGUUCUAAAAAUACAGAAAUAGGGGAAGGGGAAGAAAAGAUACCCUAGUCCCCCUCUCUCUCUCUACCCACAUUUUGAUAUACAAAGUACCCACUAAGGGAGACUUGAUGGCCACAAUCUGUGGGCCAAUUCCAUGGAGGUGUUUAAAUGCCCUUGAUAAACAGCAUACUAUGUAUACAGAUCAAGAUGACUAGUGCUCGAAUGUCUACUCUCCGGUAACGGUAUCUGCAUCCGACAGAAAGGGAUCAGUACAUAAAGAAUCUCUCUCUUUCUCUCCCUCCAAUAAUGCUAUCGUAUACCAGCAGCAGCCAAUAACAGCACAGCAGAUGCCUGUAUUGUUAUUUCCUAUGCUGUGUUGUAUUCAAACUUCUCCUCAAACCAUUCUUCAUUUCCUAUUUUUAAAGAUAUGUUUCAGUCUCUCAUAUUUGAGCAUGCUGAUCAAAGAUGGUAUUUGGUAAUCAGCUAUGAAAGGAUCGGUAUUGAUUUGUCAGUUUGGAAACACCGAGUUUCCGAACAUAAUCUUUACUCACCUCUCUCGGUCUCCUCGCAUCCCUCUGGUGUUCGCCCUGAACCAGGCAUCACCAAACUUAACUUUGAUGGUUGCUCACUUGGCAACCCUCGCCUCGCCCUACUCUGCUGGAAUAGGCGGAGUCUUCAAAGACCUCCCUCUUCUCCAAGCACAUAGGCCUAGCGGAUUCUCACAAGUGGAGGCCCUAGCGCUCCUUGACCCCAACUGGAGCCAGCCCCGCGUUUAUGGUGGAGGGGGACUCCAAAAAUGUCCUCUCUUGGAGACUUUCCCAUGUUUUUGACGAGAACGCCCGAAAUCUGCAGACCCAUCCAAAUCUCUUAGAAUCAUCUUUUGCGUUGCGGGAGUGAAAACCUCCAGUCUAAGUCUCGAAUGAGUAAACCUCUCAGGCUGGUGUGCGUGUCUUCCCUCUUAGCAUCCACCUGAAGCUAGGGUCUGCUACCUCUAAGCUUCGUCAGCCCAUCCAUCUUCUAUGUACCAGGAGUAAUAAAUUCUCUUAAACUUAUCUCCCAAUGAUUUCUCUGCAUAUAUAAGUGCAUGAGUCUCGCCACAUUCUUGCAGCUCCUUCCUAGCCUGAGGUGUGGGUAAGCCUGUAACUGCUGCAAUAUUCUUGCAGCUCCUUCCUAGCCUGAGGUGUGCGUAAGCCUGCAACUCCUGCAGUGGAGUGAAAGGGUACGGGGUACCACUACGUGGCUAAGUAAGGGAUCCGGUCUUCUUUGAGGGAAAACCUGAAUCCCCAGAAGCAACCAGAGAUAAACUACAUUAGGAAAUAUGAAGUGAACCCUCUCUUUGUUUUAGGGUUUUCUUAUGAUAUAAAAGACAUCAGAUCUCAAAAUUUUAGGGUUUAGGGGUCCCUCCCACUUUUUGGUUUAUUUUACCC